GAAGAAAUUGAUUCAACCACUUUCUCUCUCUUUACGUCGGAAAACUAUGCCGGAGAUAGGGUUUGAUUGCCGGAGGUCUAACUAUGGCGCCGGAGAUACAAGUCCCGAUUCUGUUUUCUUCACUCUCGGUUCCAAUUUCAGCAGCCUCUUUUCCUCCACUUCCGGCAGCGGCGAACGAUGUUCUUUUGCCUCCAAUGCGGAAGCCUCGCAGCAGCAUUUGGCAGGACAUGAUUUAAGGCAUGCUUCUAGUGGUCCAGAUUCAGAUCUACGCAUGCUUAAUGUUGAUAAGAACAGUCGUCAAUGGAGAAAAGUUGGAAAAGCAGAUGUUCAAAAGGAUGACAGCGGGACUGAAACUGAUGAUAGCAAUCUAAUCUUGAAUUCUGGAAGAAACUCAUUCUCUCAAGCUAUGAGAGAAUGUCAAGACCACAGAGUAAGAUCUGAUGGUCUUAAGUUGAAGGAAGAUCGAAACUUACAAAUGACCCGUGUGAGUUAUUCGCCUCGUUUAGGAACCAAUAAGAGGGAGUUAAUUACUAUGUCUGGCCAGACUAGUAAUUUACUUAGUCCUAGGAUGACGAUAAACCAUCGGCAUAGUAGUGUGGACACUCUAAAGGGAUGGAGCUCAGAGCGUAUUCCACUGCAUGGAAACAUUAACAGGAGGAAUGGUGUUAAUGGGAGAGCAUUGCCAUCCAAAUGGGAAGAUGCUGAGAGGUGGAUUUUCAGUCCUGCUUCGAGUGAUGGUUCUAAUAGGACCUCAUCUCAUCAGCAGCAGCCAAGGAAGCCCAAAUCCAAGAGUGGGCCACUUGGUCCUCCCGGGACUUCAUGUUAUUCACUAUUUUCACCUGCAAUUCCCAUGUUAGACGGAGGAAAAGUUAGAAAUCUUGUGGGAGGAUCUCCAUUUUCAACUGGAAUUCCUAGCACUGGUGGUUUUCCGACUCGCUCCAACAGAGAUGUAUCUGGAAAUUUUCCUGCACGCAUGGAACCUUUCAUGGCAAGGUCAAUUAGCAUACAUGGUUGCUCGGACGCGCCCGGUGGUCAAUUCCUAUUACCUGGAAUCCAAGAUAAGAACCUUGCUAAAGAUAAUAAGCAAGAAGGAAUUGAUGUUUAUCAUGCUGGUCUAAGAAAGGAUGUAUCAACUCAGAUGAGUCCUGAACGAAAUGAUCACACGUCUUCUAAUUGGGAGUUGAUCUUACCACCAGUUCAACCUGCAGUUUCCAUCCAUGAAGUUAAUGAUCCUCCUUUAACUAGAGCCAGAGUCAGAGAUGUGCGGGUUGACAAUAAUGUGACCAAGUCAAUAAGAUCUUUCAAACUAAGAGAACCUUUUCCUGAGAAAAGAUCAGCUAAUCUGGACAAUUGGAAUGGGAAAAAUGGGGAGGAUCCAUCUUACUCUUGGAAUGGAUCAAAAACAGCAAAAGACAUUUCCAUAAUGAAGAGACAGGAAGCAAAGAUUACUGCAUGGGAGAACCUACAGAAGGCAAAAGCAGAGGCUGAAAUUCGUCAACUAGAGAUGAAAAUUGAAAAGAAGAGGUCAUCAUCUAUGGACAAAAUUUUAAGCAAACUGAAAUCAGCUCAAAAGAAGGCCCAAUCAAUGAGGAGUAAUGUGUCAACAAAACAUGUUCAUCGUCAAGUUACCGAUACAUCUGAUAAGAACAUUUCUUUCCGGAAGGCGCGGAAGAUUAGUUUUUUCAGUGGUUGCUUCACCUGCAAUGCAGCUGAUUAGUAUCAAGUUCAUCCUUAUGUCACUUUAAUGUUCAUCAAUCAUCUUGAGCACAAGGCCUAUGUUAUAACAUGUUCUAUUUUGAUACUGAGUUGGAAUCAAUCAGCCUCAACCAUCACCAUGGCUCAAUGAUAAUGAACAACUGAGUAUGAUAGACUAGUUUCAAUUGCACCCUACAUCGACUAGCAAAUGGCUUUGUUCAAUGUAGUUACGCGGCUGAAAACAAUAUAUUAGGCGUUGUUUGCUUGGGUUUAGUUUGAGAAUAUUAUUCGAGACUUUAGGUUAUUCAAUGUUUUUUUUGGUUAUUUUGUUUUGUAUGGUUUUAAGGAUUAUAUCUUGGAGUGGUGACCUAGGGAGGUCUUUGGGUUUUGGAACAUUGGAUGGAUUAAUUUAUUUAAUGCUUUGGAGUUUUGAAUUUAAUAUUAUUUGAUGAAUCCU